rnacentral:rRNA from 1 species
UACGAAGGGGGCUAGCGUUGCUCGGAAUUACUGGGCGUAAAGGGAGCGUAGGCGGGUUAUCAAGUUGGAGGUGAAAGCCCAGGGCUCAACCUUGGAAUUGCCUUCAAAACUGAUAGCCUAGAGUAUGAUAGAGGUAUGUGGAACUCCGAGUGUAGAGGUGAAAUUCGUAGAUAUUCGGAAGAACACCAGUGGCGAAGGCGAACAUACUGGGUCAUGGACUGACGCUGAGGCUCGAAAGCGUGGGGGAGCAA